rfam:Gossypium hirsutum cultivar TM-1 chromosome 9, whole genome shotgun sequence
AACCCAUGAUGAGGACACUUACAAAGCGAUUCCUUGAAUCUCUCCCACACCUUGUAUAAGGACUCGCCAUCCAAUUGUUGGAAAAUAGUUAUCUCAUUUCGCAAUUU